CAACGGGAUGGAGGGAUCCAUCCCGAAGAAGAAGGAGCCCCUGUUUUAGGGCUCCUUCUCCUUCUCCUUCUCCUUUGAGUCCACCGAGGGAGAGAGCCGCCGCACCCUAAGAAAGAAAUGGGGGAGGGUCUUCUUCGUGUGGCCACCGAGAGAGAGGGAGAGAGAGAGGGAGAGAGGGAGAGAGAGAGGAGCCACGGCACCGGGUGGCGGGUGGUCUCCUUCUUCUUUUCCGUCGGAGAGGGGGAGGCGCCGGUCUUCGUCGGGGCUGAGGUUCUGCGAGGGAUUUGCGGAAUUAAUUGGAUUUGUUGUGGAUCGCGUUCGCAAGAUUUCGAGAACUAGUCUAUUGGGGAUUCAAAUUGGGAGAGCGCCUAGAAGGAUUGUGGCACAAGUUAUCUUAGAUUAGGGUUAUUUAAGUUGAUUUGUUAUUAUGGACAUUUAUUAUGAUUGGUGGACUUUUAUUAUUUUAAGAACUAGGUUUCUGCAUGUUGGUAAAUGAUUAUUCCGCUGCAUAUUUAGACUUGUGAGACAUUAUGACUUGAGUUAGUCAAUGGAAUAAGAUUUCAAUUUAUUCU